rnacentral:rRNA from 1 species
GUGGGGAAUAUUGGACAAUGGGCGAAAGCCUGAUCCAGCCAUGCCGCGUGUGUGAAGAAGGUCUUCGGAUUGUAAAGCACUUUAAGUUGGGAGGAAGGGCAGUAAGUUAAUACCUUGCUGUUUUGACGUUACCGACAGAAUAAGCACCGGCUAACUUCGUGCCGGCAGCCGCGGUAAUACGAAGGGUGCAAGCGUUAAUCGGAAUUACUGGGCGUAAAGCGCGCGUAGGUGGUUUUGUAAGUUGGAGGUGAAAUCCCCGGGCUCAACCUGGGAACUGCCUCCAAAACUGCAUGACUAGAGUACGGUAGAGGGUAGUGGAAUUUCCUGUGUAGCGGUGAAAUGCGUAGAUAUAGGAAGGAACACCAGUGGCGAAGGCGACUACCUGGACUGAUACUGACACUGAGGUGCGAAAGCGUGGGGAGCAAACAGGAUUAGAAACCCCAGUAGUCC